rnacentral:rRNA from 1 species
AGUGAACGCUGGCGGUAGGCCUAACACAUGCAAGUCGAACGGCAGCACAGUAAGAGCUUGCUCUUACGGGUGGCGAGUGGCGGACGGGUGAGGAAUACAUCGGAAUCUACUUUUUCGUGGGGGAUAACGUAGGGAAACUUACGCUAAUACCGCAUACGACCUACGGGUGAAAGCAGGGGAUCUUCGGACCUUGCGCGAUUGAAUGAGCCGAUGUCGGAUUAGCUAGUUGGCGGGGUAAAGGCCCACCAAGGCGACGAUCCGUAGCUGGUCUGAGAGGAUGAUCAGCCACACUGGAACUGAGACACGGUCCAGACUCCUACGGGAGGCAGCAGUGGGGAAUAUUGGACAAUGGGCGCAAGCCUGACCCAGCAAUACCGCGUGGGUGAAGAAGGCCUUCGGGUUGUAAAGCCCUUUUGUUGGGAAAGAAAAGCAGCAGGUUAAUACCCCGCUGUUCUGACGGUACCCAAAGAAUAAGCACCGGCUAACUUCGUG